AUGUCAAACCCAGGAAAAUCCCAAAUCCGGGGCAAAAUCCCAAAUUCCAAACACAGAGAAAAUCCCAAACUCAGAGCAAAUCCCAAAUCCCAAACCCAGAGCAAAUCCCAAAUCCCAAACCCAGAACAAAUCCCAAACCCCAAACUCAGAGCAAAUCCCAAAUCCCAAACCCAGCACAAAUCCCAAAUCCCGAACAAAUCCCAAAUCCCGAACAAACCCCAAACCCAGAACAAAUCCCAAACCCAGAGCAAAUCCCAAAUCCCAAACCCAGAGCAAAUCCCAAACUCAGAGCAAAUCCCAAAUCCCAAAUCCAGAGCAAANNNNNNNNNNAUCCCAAAUCCCAAAUCCAGAGCAAAUCCCAAACUCCAAACCCAGAGUAAAUCCCAAAUCCCAAACCCAGAACAAAUCCCAAACCCAGAGCAAAUCCCAAAUCCCAAACCCAGAGCAAAUCCCAAACUCAGAGCAAAUCCCAAAUCCCAAAUCCAGAGCAAAUCCCAAACUCAGAGCAAAUCCCAAAUCCCAAAUCCAGAGCAAAUCCCAAACUCCAAACCCAGAGUAAAUCCCAAACCCCAAACCCAGAGCAAAUCCCAAACCCAGAGCAAAUCCCAAAUCCCAAAUCCAGAACAAAUCCCAAAUCCCAAACCCAGAGCAAAUCCCAAAUCCCAAACCUGGAGCAAAUCCCAAACCCCAAACUCAGAGCAAAUCCCAAAUCCCAAAUCCAGAGCAAAUCCCAAACUCCAAACCCAGAGCAAAUCCCAAACCCAGAACAAAUCCCAAACGCAGAGCAAAUCCCAAAUCUCAAACCCAGAACAAAUCCCAAACCCCAAACUCAGAGCAAAUCCCAAAUUCCAAACCCAGAACAAAUCCCAAACCCAGAGCAAAUCCCAAACUUCAAACCCAGAACAAAUCCCAAACCCAGAGCAAAUCCCAAAUCCCAAACCCAGAGCAAAUCCCAAACCCAGAACAAAUCCCAAACUCCAAAUCCAGAAAAAAUCCCAAAUCCCAAACCCCAAACCCGGAGCAAAUCCAGGUUUUUCAUUCCAGGGGCUCCAACCAGCUGCAGAUUUUUGGGAUAUUCCACGAGCAGCAUCCCAAAAAUCCAACUCCUCGGGAUCCCAAAACCCGGCGCCACCUCGGCGCGCCCUCAAACGCUCCAAAGCCGCCGGGAUUUGGGGGAGAAAAUCCCAAAUUUGUGAUUCCAAACGGGAUCGGGGCGAGGGCCGGAGCCACCUGCUCUUCCCAGGAACCUCCAGAUCCCGGGAUCCGCCUUAA
rnacentral:lncRNA from 1 species